rnacentral:pre_miRNA from 15 species
GUACUGAUGGAGCACAAGGAUGUGACAGUUUGGCAGUGCCUUGCUAGCUGGCUGUUGAGAACUUGAUAUAUGAACAGUUGCUAGCUGCACUCCACAUUGUUGCAUUCAAAAGCAUCCUAGAAGUCA